rnacentral:rRNA from 1 species
CCUACGGGAGGCAGCAGUGGGGAAUAUUGCACAAUGGGGGAAACCCUGAUGCAGCGACGCCGCGUGAGGGAAGAAGGAUUUAGGUACGUAAAGCUCUAUCAGCAGGGAAGAAAAUGACGGUACCUGACUAAGAAGCCCAGGCUAACUACGUGCCAGCAGCCGCGGUAAUACGCAGGGGGCAAGCGUUAUCCGGAUUUACUGGGCGUAAAGGGAGCGUAGACGGCAGCGCAAGUCUGGAGUGAAAACCCUUGGUUUAACCAUGGAACUGCUUUUGAUACUGUGCAGCUAGAGUGCAGGAGAGGUAAGCGGAAUUCGUAGUGUAGCGGUGAAAUGCGUAGAUAUUAGGAAGAACACCAGUGGCGAAGGCGGCUUACUGGACUGUAACUGACGUUGAGGCUCGAAAGCGUGGGGAGCAAACAGGAUUAGAUACCCCAGUAGUC